GAGCUUUUCAAGCCUAAAAUCCCUGGAAAAGUAGGGUACUAUGGCCAAUUGUGAAAUCAGGGAUAUUUCUCAGCCUUUGCAAGUGGGUUCUGUCGGGCAGACUUACACAGAGUAUUGGAAUGCUAUCCAGCACAUUUUUUAGGAGUACUCGGAAGGAAGAUAUUGUAGUUCCUAUGGUAAGAAUAGUUUUAGGUAUUGUUGUUGCAUACUUCUUAAAUGCUUUUGAAUUGUGUUCAAAAUUCUUUUCCAGCAGGCUUAUUGCUAUAUUUAUGUUGAAUGAAAGUAAAUUGACUGGAUAAUCAUUUAGGGGUGGUUAUGGGCCAGGUUUGGGCCAUGUCAAGGUCAGCCAGAAUCUAACCUAUUUACUAAUUGAGCCAAAAUCAGACUUCACAUACAUUAUUUUAAUGCAAGCCGAGGAUAAACAUCUUAUGCUAGAAGUAAGAUUCAUUUUUCUCUACUUGUUACUUUAUUAAAAGCGUGCCACUAUUUUUCUCUACAGUCCAAUCUGUUGAUAUGAUGGACUCCCUGUAGAUGGGAGAUGCACCAAAAAUUUGCCAAAUUGGAGGAUCCUAACAAUUAUUCUUAAGAGCAGUAACAACCCAUGUUCCGAGAUUUGUUUUGGGAGAUGAGUGUUUGAUGAUGCAGGCUGAGGUG